UGAGGAAUUUUGCGCAAUGGGCGCAAUCCUGACGCAGCAACGCCGCGUGGGUGAUGAAGGCCUUCGGGUCGUAAAGCCCUGUCAGGUGGGAAGAAUGUCCCGGGACUGUACAGGUUCCGGGAGUGACGGUACCACCAGAGGAAGCACCGGCUAACUCCGUGCCAGCAGCCGCGGUAAUACGGAGGGUGCGAGCGUUAUUCGGAAUUACUGGGCGUAAAGCGCGUGUAGGUGGUCCCGCAAGUCUGAUGUGAAAGCCCCGGGCUUAACCCGGGAAGUGCAUUGGAAACUGUGGGACUUGAGUACUGGAGAGGAUGGGGGAAUUCCCGGUGUAGAGGUGAAAUUCGUAGAGAUCGGGAGGAAUAUCAGUGGCGAAGGCGCCCAUCUGGACGGUAACUGACGCUGAGACGCGAAAGCGUGGGGAGCAAACA
rnacentral:rRNA from 1 species